CCUACGGGUGGCAGCAGUGAGGAAUAUUGGUCAAUGGACGCAAGUCUGAACCAGCCAUGCCGCGUGCAGGAAGACGGCUCUAUGAGUUGUAAACUGCUUUUGUACGGGGGUAAACGCAGAUACGCGUAUCUUUCUGAAAGUAUCGUACGCGUAAGGAUCGGCUAACUCCGUCCCAGCAGCCGCGGUAAUACGGAGGAUUCAAGCGUUAUCCGGAUUUAUUGUGUUUAACGGGUGCGUAGGCGGUCGGAUAAGUUAGAGGUGAAAUCCCGAGGCUCAACUUCGGAAUUGCCUCUGAUACUGGUCGGCUAGAGAGUAGUUGCGGUAGGCAGAAUGUAUGGUGUAGCGGUGAAAUGCUUAGAGAUCAUACAGAACACCGAUUGCGAAGGCAGCUUACCAAGCUACUUCUGACGUUGAGGCACGAAAGCGUGGGGAGCAAACAGGAUUAGAUACCCCGGUAGUC
rnacentral:rRNA from 1 species